rnacentral:rRNA from 1 species
UACGUAGGGGGCGAGCGUUGUCCGGAUUCAUUGGGCGUAAAGAGCUCGUAGGCGGCUUGGCAAGUCGGGUGUGAAAACUCCAGGCUCAACCUGGAGACGCCACCCGAUACUGCCAUGGCUUGAGUCCGGUAGGGGACCACGGAAUUCCUGGUGUAGCGGUGAAAUGCGCAGAUAUCAGGAGGAACACCGGUGGCGAAGGCGGUGGUCUGGGCCGGUACUGACGCUGAGGAGCGAAAGCGUGGGGAGCGAGCAGG